AGCUCCAAUAGCGUAUAUUAUUGAUGUUGCAGUUAAAAAGUUCGUAGUUCGUCUUUAUCUGUUUAAUUAGAUUCUAGACUAAGGUUUGGAUUCAAUUUAAGCAGAGAUUUGUAAAUAUAACAUUACAUGCUACUUGCGUGUAUUUGUUGUUUUGCAUAUUACUUUGAGUUAAUCGGCGUGUUCCACGCAGGCAUUUGCCUUGAACGAUUUACCAUAGAAUAACCAGAAUAUGAUUUUGUGUCUUUGUUUGUUCGGACACAUAAUCUAUACAGAUAAGAACGGUUGAGGGCAUUCGUAUUCAACUGCUAGAGGUGAAAUUCUUUGAUUAGUUGAGGACGAACAAUUGCGAAAGCAUCUGCCAGGGACGUUUCUGUUG
rnacentral:rRNA from 1 species